ensembl:lncRNA
AUUAUGAGACAAGACCAUUAUGGGGCCAGAUGAAAAAAGAACACAGAGAAUGGACUAGCCCCCACCCCACAUUUUCUGAGAAUGUUCAACUACCAAUAAGUUUAGGACUAUCUUGUUAUAUAGACACAUUAAUUAUAAAAAGUCAACCAUAUACUCACACUCAUCCCAACAUGACAGUGACUGAUCAGACAGUUGGAAUACCCUAGACAUUGUUUCCCCUGUGGCCAUUCCAGCUGUUGCUUCAGCUGCCUAGAUCAUACCGUCCACUCAACCCUCAACUCUAUUGUGUUGUUCUAUUGUUGCUACUGUGGCAUCCUUGGCCGCAGGUCUGCAGUGCUGACUGUAAGUCUAUCUGGCUGGAUGGCAUUGACCUGUGUGGGUGGGGGUUGAUGGUGGGGGCACCGGAGGGGACGUGUCAGUAGUCUAUAUUUACCACCUUGAGUGCAUUGUGUUUGGCCACAUUCUCUUCAUGAAGGACACUUUGUGUCCAGGGCCAGGUUCACCUUCACUGCUUAUACAGGGAGAGGCAGAGUGAGGAGCACGGGAGAGAAAGAAUAGAGAGAGGAACUUUAAAGAGAGGUGAGACAGGGAGAUUAAGAGAACGUGAGACAGCAAUUGAGAGAGACAGAUAGUGAAAGGUGACAGGGGACAGAGAGAGAGAGAGAGAGAGAGAGAGAGAGAGAGAGAGAGAGAGAGAGAGGGAAAGAAAGAAAGAAAGAAAGAAAGAAAGAAAGAAAGAAAGAAAGAAAGAAAGAAAGAGAGAAAGAAAGAAAGAAAGAAGUGUGUCCUUCACGCUCAUCUUGAGCGCCUGUGGAGUAUAACCCUUUCUUCAAAGACAAACGUGUUGGUCAGGGGUUCACCAUGUCAAUCAAGAUGCUGAUGACACGGGUCCAGGAAGAGCAGUCCCACCAGAUGUCCCACAGCAUGGCGCUGGCCUCGCAGAUCAAGAAGAAAACCUUCACCUCUAGUCCAGGAACCAAACAAAAGAAAAAGCAGAAGAUGCUCUCUCUGAGCUCUGUGAAAUGGGGAACUGUCCCAGCAAAUAAACGAAAUAAAACGGGAAGUCACAACAAUUUUCAUUGUCAUCACAAGUAGGCUUUCUUUCUGAAAGGAGUGCCUCAAGCAAUAUGGCUACAUAUAUUAGCUGGCUGUAUUGACUUGGGGGGAAAUCAAUUCUGACUUUCAGAAAUGUGUUGUAGUGUGGGGCAAUUCAAAAACCCAAAUAUAGACCAAGCAGCCCACAUAAGACCUGAUACAAGCAUUUACUCUCAAAAAAUCUCCUGAAUGCAGCUGUAGUUGCUCUUGUUAAAGUGUAAUAGACCCUUGUGGAUAAAAGUUGAGCAAAAGUUAGCACCUCUCUUACUCCUUUAAGAUGCCUUCCUACUUUAUUGUCUCGACGUGCCUCCCAAGUGUUCUCCUUGUUGUUUAUAGGUGUGUAAGAGGGCACUUUAUUUAUUGAUAGUCUAAGAAGAGAAUGUUGACUUGAAUGGGAACGUCUGUUGUUUUAAAUUAUACUGUCAAUCCUCCAUAAGAAACCUAUACCUAACCUAAACCUACCUACCUAAACCACAGUAAUAUAGAUAAUAGAAUAGAAAUGACCAUUUUAGUUGAUAUUUAAUGGUGGGUGGACCAGCGGC